rnacentral:rRNA from 1 species
UGUUAGUUGAAUGUGCUGGAAAGCACGACCCUAGAGGGUAAUGGUCCCGUAAACGAAAAUAUAAUAUCUUCUUUGUUUCUGUUCUUGAGUACCUCGAGACAUGAAUAGCUCGGGGGAAUCUGCCGGUACUAACCGGUAAGGCUAAAUACAUUUUGAGAUCGAUAGUGAACUAGUACCGUGAGGGAAAGGUGAAAAGAAGUCCGAUUAGGACAGUGAAAUAGAUCUGAAACCAUAUGCUUACAAGGAGUCGGAGCGGGGGCAUCACAUUGCAUGUGAUGCUAGUCAAAAGUUUAUAAAGUCAUAAAGUCCAUAAAGUAGAAUUCUGAAUUCACUUUACAAACUUUAUAGACUUUCAACUUUAUGGACUAUGCAUCGUGUUCAGCGCGAUGCCUCCGUCACGGCGUGCCUAUUGAAGAAUGAGCCAACGAGUUCUAGUACGCGGUUUGACUAAGUCCUUCAUCGGAUGGAGUCGUAGGGAAACCGAGUGUGAAUAGCGCGUAUGGAACCCACCUCAAAAAUAAUGACUUGUGCAAACUAAAAAAUUUCUAGGAAAAAAUAAAGGAUGAGGCGCGAGACAUAUCUAGAUAUGUCGAGUGGCGAAACUUUAUUUGUUACAGAAAUUUUGAUGUUUGGAUAGUCAAACAUAUUAUCGUGUUUGAUUGUGGUUAUUUUUGAGGUGGGUUCCAAUCGUGUGCUAGAGACCCGAAGCCAGAGCGAGCUUGCCAUGAGCAGGUUGAAGUUUGUCGAAAGACAGAUGGAGGACCGAACCGGUUGCCCGUGCGAUUGCAUCGGAUGACUUGUGGUAAGAAGUGAAAAGCUAAUCGAGCCUGGUAAUAGCUGGUUCUCUCCGAAAUAGCUUUUGGGCUAGCGUCGCAUGUUCCCUUCCGGGGUAGAGCACUGGAAGGUUUCGACAGGGAGCAAUCUCGCGAAACCUAUCAAACUCCGAAUACGGAAGAUUUAAAGCGCGGCAGUUAGACGGUGGGGGCUAAGCUCCAUACGUCAAAAAGGAAACAGCCUAGAUCUCUAUUUAAGGUCCCUAAAUCUAUGUUAAGUGCACUUGAGGUGGUGAAUUUUCUCUGACACUGAGGAGGUUGGCUUAGAAGCAGCCAUCCUUUAAAGAUAGCGUAACAGCUCACUCAGUAAGAGAAUUCGCGCCGCAAAUAAUCGGGGCUAAACAUAGUACCGAAACUGAGGGUUUCAUAAUUCUUCGGAAUUGUGGAGCGGUAGGAGAGUAUUCGCAUCUGCUGUGAAGGCAAAGGGGUGACCCAUGCUGGAGCGUUGCGAAGUAAGAAUGUUGGCACAAGUAACCACAUUGCGGGUGAGAUCCCCGCACGCCGAAAGACUAAGGUUUCCUGUUCAAUGUCAAUCAGAGCAGGGUUAGUCGGGCCUAAGGCAAUGGAGAGAUCCGCAGCCGAUGGACACAUGGUUAAUAUUCCAUGACUUUUAUGUGAUGCGAUGGAAGGACGGAGUGUAGUAUGUAUUGCUCAUUAUUGGAUUUGAGUAAAUGCUGUGAGGUAGUUGACUAGGUAAAUCCGGUCACUUUCUUAAAUGAUAAUACCAAGUAGUAUUUAAACCUGCGGGUUCGCCCUAGGGAAUUAUACAAAGCACGCUUCCAAGAAAAUUUUCUAAGCAUAAUCACAUGAGAUCCGUACCGUAAACCGACACAGGUAGUCAGGUCGAGUAGACUAAGGCGAACGAGUGAGAGAUCCCCAAGGAACUCGGCAAAAAAGCAGCCGUAACUUCGGAAUAAGGCUCACCGACGCAUCACAUGGAAUGUGAUGUCGUCAAGUUCAAAGUUCAAAGUUCAAAGUUGAAAGUGGGCUCAAAUGCAUUUGCAUUUCGAAUUUACUUUAUGACUUUAUAACUUUCUACUUUUGACUUGGCGUCAUCGUGCUUCGCGCGAUGCGCCGGUUGCAACAAAAGUUUCUCUGGCAACUGUUUAUCAAAAACACAGCUCCCUGCGAACUCGCAAGAGGAUGUAUAGGGGGUGACACCUGACCAAUGCCAGAAGGUCAAAUAUGGUAGUUGAGAGUCGCAAGAUUUUAGAUUGACCGUAUAAGCCCUGGUGAAUGUCGGCCGUAACUAUAACGGUCCUAAGGUUCUGAUUCUUCGUGAGAGGGGUCAGAAGGACUGGGACUGUUUAGCUACUGCUUACACAUGUAAAAAUGUAAAAGCAUUUUGAUAAACAAAAUAAAAAAUAAUCAUCACAAUCAUUCAAAGCUGCCUCGCCCUGUGGUAACACAGGGCAGGUCCAAAAAUAUCGACUAUAUGCUGGAAGAUCUGUGCAUAAAAUGCUGUAGAAUCGAGUACUACUUAAUGAUAUACUUAUGACAAGUGCUAUUUAACACUUGUCUAAUAAUAUCAUGAGUAAAAAAGUAUCUCGUGCAGAAGAUCAGCAGGAAAGACUAAUAACAACAGGAUGGAUAGUUGGUUUUGUAGACGGUGAAGGGUGCUUCUCUAUUAAUUUUGUUAGACAAUCUGAUAAAAAGGAGAAAAAUCGGAUUCGCAAAGGAUACAAAACCGGGUAUCAGAUAUUCUAUGAGUUUGCUAUUACACAGGGCGAAAGUAGUUUGGGAAGUUUAGAAAAAAUUAAAGAUUUUUUCGGUGUGGGAAAAAUUUAUCUUAAUAAAAGAUAUGAUAACCACAAAGAACAUCUUCUCAGAUAUACUGUUCGCAAACUAGAUGAUCUGGUAAAUAUAAUAGUUCCUUUUUUCAAAAAAAAUGAACUAAGAACUUCAAAAAAGAAAAAUUUUGAAAUAUUUACUAAAUGUCUCGGUGAGAUAAGUAAAGGUAAACAUCUAACCAUAAAUGGGGCCGUGAAAAU